UACGGAGGGUGCAAACGUUGCUCGGAAUUAUUGGGCGUAAAGCGCACGUAGGCGGACUACCAAGUCGGAUGUGAAAGCCCUCGGCUUAACCGAGGAAGUGCACUCGAAACUGGCAGUCUUGAGUACGGGAGAGGGUCGCGGAAUUCCCGGUGUAGAGGUGAAAUUCGUAGAUAUCGGGAGGAGCACCAGUGGCGAAGGCGGCGAUCUGGACCAGCACUGACGCUGAGGCACGAAAGCGUGGGGAGCAAACAGG
rnacentral:rRNA from 1 species